AGAGUUUGAUCCUGGCUCAGGACGAACGCUGGCGGCGUGCUUAACACAUGCAAGUCGAACGAUGAAGCCCUUCGGGGUGGAUUAGUGGCGAACGGGUGAGUAACACGUGGGCAAUCUGCCCUUCACUCUGGGACAAGCCCUGGAAACGGGGUCUAAUACCGGAUACCACUCCUGCCUGCAUGGGCGGGGGUUGAAAGCUCCGGCGGUGAAGGAUGAGCCCGCGGCCUAUCAGCUUGUUGGUGGGGUAAUGGCCCACCAAGGCGACGACGGGUAGCCGGCCUGAGAGGGCGACCGGCCACACUGGGACUGAGACACGGCCCAGACUCCUACGGGAGGCAGCAGUGGGGAAUAUUGCACAAUGGGCGAAAGCCUGAUGCAGCGACGCCGCGUGAGGGAUGACGGCCUUCGGGUUGUAAACCUCUUUCAGCAGGGAAGAAGCGAAAGUGACGGUACCUGCAGAAGAAGCGCCGGCUAACUACGUGCCAGCAGCCGCGGUAAUACGUAGGGCGCAAGCGUUGUCCGGAAUUAUUGGGCGUAAAGAGCUCGUAGGCGGCUUGUCACGUCGGAUGUGAAAGCCCGAGGCUUAACCUCGGGUCUGCAUUCGAUACGGGCUGGCUAGAGUGUGGUAGGGGAGAUCGGAAUUCCUGGUGUAGCGGUGAAAUGCGCAGAUAUCAGGAGGAACACCGGUGGCGAAGGCGGAUCUCUGGGCCAUUACUGACGCUGAGGAGCGAAAGCGUGGGGAGCGAACAGGAUUAGAUACCCUGGUAGUCCACGCCGUAAACGUUGGGAACUAGGUGUUGGCGACAUUCCACGUCGUCGGUGCCGCAGCUAACGCAUUAAGUUCCCCGCCUGGGGAGUACGGCCGCAAGGCUAAAACUCAAAGGAAUUGACGG
rnacentral:rRNA from 1 species